CAGAGGAUGAGAUUGUCUCCAUGGCUGACUCAACCACCACCAUCGAUGACAUUGAAGGGGAGCUCUUCAAAAUCGAGAGGAUCAGGGAGAUCCUGGUGAGGAGGGAGUCAGAGCUGCGAUACAUGAUGGAUGACAUUCAGCUUUGUAAGGAAAUCAGCCGGCUGAAAAAGGAGCUUCAACAACUCAUCGCGCUUCCAGAGAAUGAGAAGUCCAACGAGGAGAGGCAGAAGGAAGAGGAGCUGGUGCAGCAGAUACACAAGCUGGUGGAAACACGGGAUUUCCUGGUGGAUGAUGUGGAGUUUGAGAGGCUCAGGGAAAGGGAAGAAGACAAGGAAAUGGCAGAGUUCUUGCAAAGUAAGCUCUCCAAAAGCUACCUCCAGAAAACAACUCCUGCCAAAGAGAAGAAGGUGACUUCCAGGGGGCAGCAAACCUCCGCACCGUACGUGACCAAAACAGGCCUCACCCUGCUCAAGGAGUGCUGCGGCUUCACCUGCUCCAUCAUGUAGGCCACCCCCAGCUCCUCUGCACAGGACAGGACCAUGGUCUCCAGCUAGAGUCCACAAUCUGCUCUCCUCUGAGCGUUUCAACUCCCCGUCAUUGUUCAUGCUUCCCACUGCAGCAGCACCACCAAAGAGACUUCCCGAGCAGGCUGGUGCAAGCUUGAAUGAUGGCAUGUGUCCUUGGGGCCGUGUCAGUGGCUGUCUCCUCCAUGACUUCAAACAAACACCGAGUUCCACCUGAGCUCAGCUUGGAAGAGGUGUGUGCAGCAACAGCAAGUGAGGCCAUGACAAAGAGGACCAGUGCAGUCCUUCACCUGGACAGAGUGAUAGAGAAAGCAUUGGAGAACAUUGUGCUCCACCAUCCAAGACAUGCUGUGGCCACAGAUGAUGUCUCAUCCUUGGCCUUGUGCCACCUUGUGGGUCUCUAUGGGAUGAUUCCUGAGGACUCUUGGUGGGGAAUGUCUCUGGUCUGGGUUUCCUUGUGUUUGCAUCAGUUUUGUUGCAAGGUGCUCUAUGGCUCUGGGUAGAGCUGAGCAAAAUGUGAAGGACAUACCCCAGAGCUGGCUGAAUGAAGGGCUAAUUCUGGUGAAGUUCUCACCUCAGCACAGACCUGGUGUGUUGAACUAUGGGCAGAUGAGUUGCUUUCCUCACCUCACUAUGACGGAUUCACUUUUCAGCUCUAAGGAAAAGGAGGAAAUUAGAGCAAAAGAGAAAGGGAGAAAAAUCCAGAAGAACAGGGCAGGGUGCGGGAGAAAAGGAAAAGGAAAACCAAUCAGGAGCCUAGAAACGUGCCAGGGGAAGGUGGAGGCAGCAGAUGAGACACUCUCACUACCAAGAGGGCAUUCAGUCCUGCCCUCCAGUGCCCCAGCCAGCGCCUCUGGGCUUGGAACCAUGACCUGGACAUAAAGCCCUGUGCAAAAGCCUCAUGGAACCCUGAGGGCACCCAGUGUCUCAGUUCCCAUUGUCCCUUCUGAGCACCCAUCUGUGUUGAGGUGGCACAGCCAGAGCUGCUAAUGCCCUUCGUGGCAGGACAGGGCUCUCCUUGCUGGGCGUGAAGGCCUCUCACAUCUUCCCCCUGCCUGCUCUUCUGCUCCAUAGGCUGCUAUGGCUUCACUGGAUGUUCUGGGAUGGGCUCCCAUUUGGGUGGCUGCCCAAGAGCUGUGGCUGCCCUCUGGCCAAAAUGCUCCAGCUCAGUCUUUCUGCAACUUGCUGUAGGGUCUUAAGAUGGUGCUCCUGCCUUGUCACUGCCCAUCAUGCCCAUGCCAGUGAGAUGGCCGCAACCUAUUUGGCCCUUUCCCUUGCGCCUGAUAGCACAUUUGUCCAUCUAAAACGUAAUGCAGGUGGGAUCCUUCCUAGUGCAGUGCCAUGAGCAGGUCCAAGCCCCUCCUGAAUGUCUUCGUCAGCACUGCCAGGAAACCCAGUGUGUGGGAACCUGUUCUUUAACCUGUGCAAGGGGGUUUCCACUCACUUGUCCUUCUUGAGCAAUCUCCUCCUCCUAUGGCUCUUAGCAGCCAGAAAAGUCCACAAACUAAACCAGUCCCUCUGCACAUUCAUAGACCAGGCUACGAGGUCCAACUGGGCCAACACAAUCCUGGUCACCUCCAGCAAACUUGUGGUUUGUGUCAUCUUGAGUCACUGGUCUCAGUCUGAACAUGCCGACUUUGUGCUGCUCAUUGUUAAUGUCCUACAGCAUCCUACAACCACCACCUGCCAGUUCCUGGUGCUCUCCUUGCUUGGGGGAGACUUCAGUGUGUGCUGGAGGGAGCCUCCUGCAGAUCACAGGGCCAAAUUAAGCCACAGGGAGCUCCCCUCUGCUUUGCCAACCCUCUGUAACGGAGUGAGGUGCAGUACAUGGAGCUGUUGUCCAACCAGGGAUGUCAGGACAUCAUUGGUGGCAUCCAUCCUGGAGGUGGUGGGGCAGAUGAGGCCACUCACUCCCUGCUCUUACAGAAACUGUCCAGUGAUUUCUUUGCUUGGUCACUCUGCAGUCAUGUACGUGGUGCAAUACGAGUGUUUGCUUGGAUCUGCACAGACCAAAGGCUCCAUACCUGGAAGCCCUCUCCUCAUUGUCCUUGCCUUCCUCAGAAUCUUCUUGGGAAGGGUGGGUAACCAAAACUGGUUGGUUGUAUGGAGAGGGAGCUAAGGAAGAAGAGCCCUUGAUUCAGAACUUGCUCCUCUAAUUCAUCCCUACCUCCAGCCCACAAGACCCCAGACUUCAGCUGAGCAGUGCUUGGCCAGGCAGGAGGAUGGCUGGGGGCACAUGGGCAAGGUCCUCGCCUCGUUUGUUCUGUGUUUGUGUGGCUGGUCAUGGAGAAGGAGACAGGCUUCUGUCCUGGUCAUACAAUACCAUUUGGCCUGUACUUUAACCCAUGGCAAAGGUGUGCAGCACACGGGAGCAACACUGUUUCAUGUGCAUUGAUUUCAACCCAAAUAAAUGUCUGUUGGAA
rnacentral:lncRNA from 1 species